rnacentral:lncRNA from 1 species
AUUAUAUAUAGUUUUAACUACUAUAGUUAUAACUAUUGCCUAACUACUUGUACUUGUGGCUACUACAUUUACAAUGGCCUUGAUAUAGAGCAAAAAGAGACUAGGACUGGAGUUUCGGUCCAAGUUCUGGCAUUUUCUAGGUAACCUUUUUGUUCACCUGUGCUCCUGGUAAAAUUUACAGUAGAAAGUCUUUCCAUUUCUAAGGUCCUCAUACUACUCAGUCACAAGCUAAUCCACACUCACUUAAAUUUAUGCUCAGAAACCAGUCAGAAAUUUUUUGACUUCAGCGCUUUCAAGAAAAAACUCUAAGCGCUUUGUUUUGAGCAUGUCGCUGUGAAAAAGAUAGUCACCUUCACGUUUUCCCCAAAUUCUCAGCACUGUUCUGCAGCUGGCACCCUGUGUGCCAUCUUAUAAACUCCAUUUUAUUAAGUGUUUUUAUUUAAAUUCAAAGUACUAUUUAGUAUUUGAGAUCUUAAAAGAUAAAUGUAAAAGAAGGGUUUUUUCAGAGUUAAGAAAAUUAGAAAAGGCAGUGUAUUGAUAUCUGCAUCUAAAAAUGUAGAAAGGAAAAGAACGGGAAGAAAACAGUUUCUCAUUACGCAUAUUUCCCAUUGGAUUUUCUCCCCUCUUUUUAAGGCAUCCCAUUCCUUCUGUCGACUUCCGUUGAAGCGGCUGUCCCUGUCAAUUGUCUGUCACUGCUUCAUGUCAUUCUUUAAAAGACUAGCAAACUUCCUGAGUGACAUGUAACUUCAAUCAAUUUGCAUUUCUGCCACCGUGGGAAUUAUUUUUGAAAACUUAUGCAUUCUUUCUAGGCUCUUUGAGGCCUUAAUUGCCUAGAAUGUCCCUUGAUCUAUAAACUUUCUGUAAGUGGUUCUGUCGGAAAGGAAGUCUGUCUGAACCUAAGGAGCAUCUUCUUUCUUAAGACACUUUUAAACAAGUUCUAAAAUCCGGUCUGGUAGACAACAUGAUGAGACAUUGAGAGGCGUCUCACCAUGGUCUGUUGAAUCGUGCAGUAAUAUUCCAUACUCGGCAGAGGCUGCACAGAACCCUAUGGUUGACCAAGACGUGGAAGCCAAAUUGGUUUCCCAUCUGGAUUCUCUCUUAUCAAGCCCCAAGUAUCUCACAUCACCUCUGUCCACCUGGGUUUACUUUGUGAAAGUGGAGAUUAGAAGUGUCCAUCUGAUUCAUGAGGUUGCUGUGCUGAUUAAGUACAACUGUACUUUAUACUUGGAUCCUUCUCUGACCACUUUCCUUCCUUUGAUGUCUGUCUCUAGGAAAACGUUAAAGAACAUCUCUUAGGGAACCCAAAACAUGAAACUCUUCAGUAUAAGUCAGGGUGUGGUGAUGAGAAAUCCUGGCUAUUGCCACCAAGUCCUGAUUUUAAAGAUUCUGUUCCUUGUCUCUGUGUGAUAUGCAUCCAUGUCAGACAACACAUGACAUUUUCUGUCUUUGUGUCUCCCCCCCACCACACCCAAUUCUUCCCUUCUGUUUCUUUCACAUGCAUGCUUCAGAAAUUCAUUGCCAGGAACUGACAUAAAGUGAUGUUACGAAUUGAUGUUUACAUUUUGUAGAUGAAGAAACUGAGAAUCAGAGCGAUUUAGGAACUAAUGCAUGUUCACCCAGCUAGAAAAUGCCAAAUCUGAGCAUACUGGUUCUAUUUUAUUUUUCUCCAUCACCAAGAGGCUCUGUAGCAGCAUUUCAUGGCCAUCCUAUUAGUUUCUCUGAUCAAAUGACACUAAAGCCACACUUUUGUUUCUCUCUUAGGGAAGGGCUGAUUCCAGGCCUAAUAGCAGCUAUUAACAUUUUCAUACAAGGUCCUUUUAAAAUGUGGGAAUAGCUUUGAGAUUAAUUUCUUUUAAAGCAGACUUAAACUAGCUUUUCUACUGAUGCCAUGAAGAGGAAAAUAGUCUUGUCCAAGGUCGAUAAAGAAUUGAAAAGUGAGGUUAAUAAUAAAGGCAGAAUUAGAAGCACUUUCAGUGGGGAUAUGUCAUGUGCAAGCCUAUAAAAUAAAUAGCAAUUAUCACAUUAGGAAAAUGAGUCCCUUGGAAUGGGAGCGGUUUCUGAUAACUCUAUGUACCACUCUCCUCUGCCUUGCUCACUUUGUAUCUCUAAUUGACUAAAUCAAUGCAUGACACUCCCCACUCCUGUGCUUAAGACGAAAGCUGUUGUGUUCCAUAAGAGCUCAAUAACUGGAGACAAAACUGUGCCAUUCCAAAAGCACCCUCUUACCUAUUGUCUGUUUUACACUUUACUUGUGUAUGUAACAAAGAUUACUUGCUUAUGCAUAUUGUAUCUGUUAGAUAUAAUAGUAAAUUCCGGAUAAAUGGUGCCUGUUGUGUACAGCAUAACACAUGCUAAAGGUGCUUGUUUUAUGUUAUUGCUCUGAAUCCUUACAACAUCCCAGUUAUUAGUUAUCAUUAUUGCCAUUUUACAGAUCAGAAGUAGGAGUUCAGAGAUACACAAACAGGUUCAGGUUUUUGGUACCAGAGAGUGGCAGAGAGAGAAUUUAACUUAGUUUUGUAGGGAUAUCUGGGCUUAAUCUUGAGUAUACUGUGUAGAAUAUCCACAUGUACAUGAUAUGCUGUCACUACCAGUGACAGAAAGUCAAGAUUAGUUUUUCCAAAGUUGGAGACAAUACUUCUGAAACUUUGUUAAGUCAGAUAAGUAAGAAUAUCUCAGUAUAAAUUAAGUCUCUUGAUUUCUAAGCCAUUUCCGUCAAGUACAAAAACUUCCUUGUGAGCCCUUUAUGAUGGCCCUGUUAUUUGUUGUGGAGAUUACAUGCGGCGCAAACUUCAUAUCUGGCAGCGGUGAUGGCAUCACAGGGGACAGUGUGUCAUAUCUAUCCUUGUCCUGCUGCAAACAUAUUUUACCUGCAUGCACAGGUGGCUAUGGGUACUCUGUCACUGAAGGGUUAGGACUGAGCUCCAUAGAAUUCAUCUGUGAGUUGGAAAGAAAAGAGCAGGAUAAGAAAGAGGCAGACAAAUCCUAGAAAAAGAUGAAAUUUAUGGAGUGUUUAUAAUGUGUCAUAUACUGCACUAUGCAUCUGCUACAUAUGAUCAACUUUGAUCCCCUGAAACACUGUGAGGAAUAGCUAUUAGUAUUCCCAUUCGAAAGAAAGUUAAAUAACGUAUCCAAUGUCAUUCAGCAAGUGACAGAGGUGGAAGUUAAACCCAAGGAGUUUGCUUUCAGACACUGGGCUCUUAUCCUAUAUAUUUUAUAGGGUUCUUAAGUAUUGUUUCCUAGAAAACUCUAUGGUGCUCCUAAUCUUCCCCUUUAUGUAAUUAAUACUGGUUUUUGCGUGCGCAUCCUGUGCUAGAGCCUGCUGAAAGUGCUGGGAAGGGAGGGAAAUCACUGUGAUCUAUAACAUUUCAUUUAAUAUACUGAAAUGUGUCCUCCUCUACCACAUGGCACAUAAACUGUAAGUUACAGUUGAUGCUGAAUACACAUUUUUUCAAUGAAUAAAUGUACAAAUGAAUACAUGAAGCCAACUUGGGAGCGAUGGGCACGUGAACAUAUGCUGCGAACACAUAUGCCAGUGUUUUCAGCCUUGACUGUAAUUUGCUCCCCAAAUUUAUUCCUCUCCUUUUUCUUAGUAAAGCCAUGCAUGAUAGGUACCCAGGCUAGUAGAAACCGAAAUUUAAUUACUUUGCCUCUUCCUUUGUGUAAUGAGGUAUGACCAUGUAACAGCAUAUAUUUAAAUUGAUAACACAUGUAAUUUUUGUGCAGUUUCUUAGAAUUAUCCACGUAGAAAGGUAGCCUAUUUUUCUUUGCCUCUCCCUCCUUACUGAUUCUUGGAAGGUAGAUGUGAUGGCUGGUGCCCAGGGGGCCAUCUUGGACUAUGAGGUGACACAUUAAGAACUGCGAAAGAGCAAACUACUAGGAUGCAGGUCCUCAUGGUCAUGAAGCACUCUAAUCUCUUUUACGUGAGAUUAAGUGAGAGAAAUAAAUUCCCAUUUUGUUCAAGUCAUGAUUAUUUGCUCUUUUUCUAUAGUAAGCAGUUAAUCCUACCCUUAGUGAUUCAGGGUUAAGACACAUAUAUACAUAGUGUUGCCAGAAGACAGAUUAGGGAACAUCUAAUUUAAGAGAUGGCUGGAAAUUAGGAAAGAUUCUCAAGAGGUUGGAAUAGAAACUUGAAGAAUGAGUAAGAGUUUACGAGCAUCCAAGGUGAGGGAAUUCUUUCAAGAAUCAAAGUCACAUUUCUAGGAUUCAGCAGUUGUAUCUCUCUCCAGGCUGCCUUCCAGUGGUGGAUUUAGAUGCAUAAUACCAUUAAAAAAUCAUCUGUUAAAUAUUGAGCACCCAAUGAAGCAGACCCAGAUCCUGUGCUUAGUAGAAGCUGACAGUUCUUCCCAAUCUGGGACUAGUGUGCCUCUCUAGUCUCAGCACCUGCUACUAAGCUGAUUUGCACUCUACAGGUGUUAGGAGAGUUACUUCUACCACACUGUGCUUGUUUGCCUCCAUGGUGUAGCAGUGAUCCAGAAUUCUCUUUGCUGCUUGCAAGUUCUAUUAAAACUCUUUGUAUCCUCCUCCUCUUCCUCUUAGUCUUCCCUUCUCUUCUCUUCCCUUUCUCUUCAGGUAAGACUGGGAAAGGUAGGAGUCUGUGGCAGGCCAAAGGUUGCUAUGUGGUCUAGAGCAGUCUGUCAGAGUCCAGGCAAUUGGAGAAAGACAUGCAAAUGAGCCAAAAGCCUCUGCUUGUACCAGAAAGUAAAGAGGUAAUAACAAUAAUGGGCAUUUCAAAAGAACACAGAAGCCACUUUGAAAGCU